rnacentral:rRNA from 1 species
AUUGAACGCUGGCGGCAUGCUUUACACAUGCAAGUCGAACGGUAACAGGCCGCAAGGUGCUGACGAGUGGCGAACGGGUGAGUAAUGCAUCGGAACGUGCCCAGUCGUGGGGGAUAACGCAGCGAAAGCUGCGCUAAUACUGCAUACGAUCUAUGGAUGAAAGCGGGGGACCGUAAGGCCUCGCGCGAUUGGAGCGGCCGAUGUCAGAUUAGGUAGUUGGUGGAGUAAAGGCUCACCAAGCCAACGAUCUGUAGCUGGUCUGAGAGGACGACCAGCCACACUGGGACUGAGACACGGCCCAGACUCCUACGGGAGGCAGCAGUGGGGAAUUUUGGACAAUGGGCGCAAGCCUGAUCCAGCAAUGCCGCGUGCAGGAAGAAGGCCUUCGGGUUGUAAACUGCUUUUGUACGGAACGAAACGGCUCUGGUUAAUACCUGGGGCUCAUGACGGUACCGUAAGAAUAAGCACCGGCUAACUACGUGCCAGCCGCCGCUGUAACAC